AGCAGUAGCCACGGGAAUACGGAGGAUCCAAGCGUUAUCCGGAAUCAUUGGGUUUAAAGGGUCCGUAGGCGGUCUUGUAAGUCAGUGGUGAAAGCCCAUCGCUCAACGGUGGAACGGCCAUUGAUACUGCAGGACUUGAAUUAUUGGGAAGUAACUAGAAUAUGUAGUGUAGCGGUGAAAUGCUUAGAGAUUACAUGGAAUACCAAUUGCGAAGGCAGGUUACUACCAAUUGAUUGACGCUGAUGGACGAAAGCGUGGGUAGCGAACAGGAUUAGAUACCCCGGUAGUCCCUGUCUCUUAUAC
rnacentral:rRNA from 1 species